AUCUAUCCACCUCUCUCUGUAAAUUUAUCUAAAUGUUUCUUUUAAUCUUUUUGAGAUUAAUAAUGAUUUGUGUUUGUUCAUCAACCGAUUUUCUCAGAUCUGUCAAUUAUUUUUGUUUAUUUAUUUAUGAUUUAUGAAUGAGGAAAGAGUGAAGUCGCUGGAGGCAGCGGUUCAUCGAUCAAUUCCUGUGAAUAUUUAUUUUUGUUUACAAAAGCAAGAAUCGAUCGAUAAACCUCUGCAUCCAGCGCUGCUUGCUCUUCAUGACUUUUGUUUAAUUGAUAUCUAUUUGAGUAUUGCUGAGAAGCAGGACAAUGGAUUCGAUAAAGUCUUCUCAGCUGCUGAAACUAAAUAUUUAAAAUUUAUCCCAAAUCUAAUUCAAAGUAUUCAUCUUUUAGCUGUUGAGAUAGUGAGGGAAAACAAAAUUCUUGUAUAUGAAAAAAGGAUAAAAUGAAAUUGUUUGUUUGUUA
rnacentral:misc_RNA from 1 species